GACGAACGCUGGCGGCGUGCCUAACACAUGCAAGUCGAACGGGGCUCUUUGGAUCGAGACUUCGGUCAAGUGAAUCUGAGCUUAGUGGCGGACGGGUGAGUAACGCGUGGGUAACCUGCCUCACACUGGGGGAUAACAGUCAGAAAUGACUGCUAAUACCGCAUAAGCGCACAGCAUCGCAUGAUGCAGUGUGAAAAACUCCGGUGGUGUGAGAUGGACCCGCGUUGGAUUAGCUAGUUGGCAGGGCAGCGGCCUACCAAGGCGACGAUCCAUAGCCGGCCUGAGAGGGUGAACGGCCACAUUGGGACUGAGACACGGCCCAG
rnacentral:rRNA from 1 species